UUUGAAGUAGAGGCAGGAGGCGUAUCGGUAGUCCUUGAAAUUUUGGGUAGUCUCAUUUUUUUAAAAGCUCUACUUUGAAUGGAAAGUUUGUUUAGAGAAGGAAGUUCUUGAAAACUAUCUUCCUGACUAGUAUUGGGUUCAAUUGAAGAAUGCUUGGAUGGAGAGGUCGGGCUAUCUAAGUGCACAUCAGAUGUGAGAUUGAAAGUUCUUUCUUGAUUUUCUACGGAGGUUUUGGAACGGUUAUUGAUGAGGUCGAUUGUAUUGGAGCUGUCUUGGUUAGGAAAUAAAUUAGGCGUAGAAGGGGCAUGUGAUAAUCGAUUAGAAGUAGGACUAGCGAUGGAUGGCAUGCAUGGCUUUAGUAUAGAGGAUGAGGAUGUUAGUGCAUCGUUGAAAGAUUUUGUUUUUGUUAGCGGACUCUGGGUAAAUGGGAAAUGAUCGUCAUCAUUCGUGUCCAGUAGUAUAUCGUGAAGGGAGUGGGAUUUUUGAAGGACUGUGGAGAGCGGCGGGGAGGACUGGAAAUCUUUUAAGGGUGAAGAAGUCAAAGAAGCAGCUUUUUUAGAUAAAGGGGAAGCCACUUGUUCAUUGUCGUCGGGAAUAACGAUGGGAGAGGAGGUUUUCGAUGACAAUUGUGUAGUCCUAGGAAUGGUGGGAGUAUGGAAUAAAUGAAAUUCUUGGUGUUUUGGUUGCGAGGAAAGGGAAUUAGGGGGAGAAGAGUUUAAAUUAAUGAUUUCGACGCGUGAAGAAGGAUUUAAAUUCGUGUUUGUUGACUGGUUUGAAGAAGUUAAAGAGAGCAAAAGAUUAUCGGUAACCGACUUUUUAUUAGUGAUAUUAAGGGCAUCACGGGGACUAGGGAGAACAUCUUCGGAGCCGGAAACUAAAGGAGUACUGACCCCAAAUGAACGAUUAGCGAGAUGUGGAAGAAAAGUGUGGAAAGGAAGGAAAUGCUGGCAACAAUAUUUGUCAACUUACCUGAAACUUUUUAGCAAACUAUCGCAUUGAGUAGAUCUUUGAGGAGUAUCAAGAACAGUUAUAACAUUGUGUUCUGACAAAGCAAUAUUGUCCUAAAAAGAGGGUUAAAAAAAAAGCGAACAGAAAGAAAGGGAAAUACGCGACAAACCUUGGAAGGAGAAGCUUGUGAGCUUGAAAUGUCAACAUCAGCUUCAGAAUCGAUCACAAUAGCGGAAUCUGUAGACUGCAGAGUCAUUCAAUGCAUGUGUAGUGUUUGUUUUCCGAACAAUAGAGGGUUUGGUGGUUAGGACAGGUAGGGCAAAGUGUACACAAGGAGCCGGCAGGGAACGAGAGUUGGUGACAGAAAUAGAGCGAAAAGAAAUGAGAAAAAAAAAAAAAAGUUUGAAGUAAAAAAUUUAGAUAGGAAUGGUAUUAAAGAGUUUGAAUAAUUAAAAAGAUUGGAGGUUUGCGUGGA